ensembl:lncRNA
ACUCGGUGGCUUCUUCAGGUGGCGGCGCUAGGGUGGGCACGGCGGCUGCAGAUUUGGCGGGGGUGGAGGUCGGGGACACGUUAUUGGUAGGGGACCCCUGGAAUACAGAGAGAGAAAUGCCUAUUUGUAUCCAUGUGUUGACAUAUGAGCAGAAACAGAAAGGCGGGAAAAUAAUGUUUAAUCUUCCACUCACCUUUACAGGGUCCUCUUACCCCUUCUUCCCCUCCAAACUGUUCAUGUGUGUCUCCAGAGACUCCAGGAUGCUGCUGGGAGCCUGAGGAGAGAAGAGAGAACCAAUCAGAAACACAGUAACUGCAGGUUUAUGGGACGAACUUCCUCAUUCCGCCGCAUGCCAACACUUCAAGUAACUCAACACCCUAUUCUAUUUCUAUGGCAGCACCACUCCAAACCCUUGGUUUUUAACUCACCACACUAUCCCACCUUUGUAUAAACUCAAUGUCCUGUAGAAUGAAGUGUUCAGGAACAUUUUACUUCAACUCUACCAUCUUUUGUGCAAACGGAAGCACACACAUAUGCAAACACACACACAAACUGCAGUCAGAAGUGUCAGUCUGUAGAAUGAUCCCAUGCCAACACCCCAUCCUCCAAACAGGCACUCUGCCAAGCCACCCUGUGUCUCUAUGGUUACCGGGUCCUCAAUAGGCUUAAAGGGACAGUCCUCAUCAUCCGAGUCUACUAGGUCCGUCACCACCCCAGGGUGCAGACACUGGGAUUGCGGGGAGGAGGGGGGGGGGGAUUAUGAUGGAUGAAACAUCUCUGUUGGUGGCAUGUUACAACUAUUUCAUCAUCCUUCCAGAGAGUAAGCACAAAAACAAGUGACUUACAUAGUUGAUGUCAGGAAUAUCAUUUUUGUCCACUCCGACAGUCUGUGGAACAAAAACACACACAAGACACAAUUUCCCAUUCUAUUUGAAGUACAGAUGGACACUGCAUAUGAGGAAGCACUGUGUUAGUUUUAUUUGGAGUUAGUUAGAAUACAUCCUAAUCCAUAAGGAAGUUUCCUUUACCUCAGCAAGCUUCAUGAACUCUCCGAUCUUGGUGACCCUGGUCAGGAACCUCUUAUAGAUCUCCAAGGCCUCCUUGCAGUCGCUCUUCUUCAUCUUAAAGUAUUUCUCU